rnacentral:lncRNA from 1 species
GUGGAUGUGCAAUUGCCAUGGCGUAUCUGGUGAGUAUGUUGUUCGAUGGCGGCUCUAAUAAGAAAUCAGUGGUGGUUCUUCAGCUUGUGUCAUGGCUUGUCUCUGAUUGGUGUCUAGUUAUACUCUUAUUUUAUUCUUAUUUUGUGUUGCUGAAGAUCUUUGUAACAGCUUUGGCCUUUAAUGAAAUUUAGGUAGGGAUCCCCCCACCCCCAAAUGACCCUAAAAAGAUCUUGUCCAGUGCAGCAGGCACUAGAAACCUUUGAAUAGGACCGUCUUGUUCCCAUACAUGUACUUUGUUUAUAUGUACAAAAUAUUUUUGAUUCUAAAAAAAGAACUACUAUUUGAAAGUAAAUCCUAAAAUUAGGGCAUGUUUGUUUGAUCUUUUGAAC